UAUAAAUCUGUGAUUUUUAUUCCAGCCUCAUGAUUUCUGAAUCUGGUUUAGGGUUUGGGAAAAAUGUUGAUUUUAUGAGAGUUUCUGAUUUGAAAAGAAUGAAAUAUGCAAGGGAAAAGGAAAUAAGCUUUUAGAUUAUUGAACAACAGAGUUUAGAGAAGGUUGAGUUGAUCAAAGGUCCUGUUGUGUUCUGUGUUGCUCUAAUGUUUGGGAAGAGUGAUAGGCGUGAAUUCAUUCAAACAAACUCCAACAAAGCCACACUUUGCCUUUGGAGGUAAGAACAAGAUGGGAGUUAGUCAAAAUCUCAAAGAAGUAGAAAUACACCAGGGUCAUGAUGUGCUUGGAAUUGUUAUGGACCAUGAACAUCUAUUUGAUAUGGACUAAAAGCAACGAGUGAUAUGCAUUUUAUACUUAAAAUGAACUUGAUAUCUACAUUUAAGAUGUCAAAUAUUUUACAGCCUUCAUCUAGAAACGGUGCUAGAG